rnacentral:lncRNA from 1 species
ACACUCGCGCGGCCCCGGGGACCCGCGACGCCACCUUCAGCGUAGCGGUCCCGUGGUUCGGCCCGGGAAGAUCAUGGAAGAGGCGGCGGAUCCCGGCUGCUCCCCGGCCCCGAACCCCCAGCCCAACCACGCAGUCAUAAAUAACCGCGCCAGCCCGGCGACACCUGGCUACGCGACAGCGCGACACUGCGGGCACAGCCGAGUCAGCGUAACUGAGGCGCGGCCGAGUGCGGGGCUCUCUGGGGCCCGCGCCGCUGCUACGGGCGGGGUGGGUCUCCGAGCUGGGCUCAGCGCCCGUCUGGGACACUCACAUUCCCUAACGGUCUCCUGACCUCAGGAAACUCAAGGUCUUGACUCAAGGUCGUGAACGAUUUGCAAUUGUAUCUUCACAUAUACGACACAAAUGAGGUAUAAGCAUUUGGCUCAAGUCAUAACGAUUGCAAAUUAAGGCAAACACUUUGACGACUGAAGGGCAGCUUCCGGACUUUUGAUGGGAGAAGGCUAAUGCUGUUUUUUAGAAGCAUUAGCACACCCGCGGUCACUUAAUUCAACAAAUCAGAACUGUCUUGUGCAUAUAAAAGUUAAAAAUUUUAAAACUUCUGUGAAUAAAGAUAAAAUCUUGAACGAUACCCUGAUUUUUCAGGGAAGCGCUGUUUGUAUAAAUAUAAAAUAAAUGAGAAGCGUAUUGUGUCAUCUUUUUGUUUUUACUGUACUUUUUGUUUGCUAUGUUAUCAGUAUCAGUUUUUAUGAGAAAGUGUAGAUGAAGUUCCUAUCAGUUUCUCUCCCCAGACCCCAGUUUUGGUAACUUGAAUUAUGUUAGCUUUUUCUUCCUACUAUGGAAUGGUGCCAGGAGUCCCUAAAAUAUUGUGGAUCUAAGGGGACAGACAACUAAAUACAGUGGUCUCAAUUGGGCUGCAGUGACAAGAGAAUACACCAUCAGUUGAUUCUGGCAAUUCUUGUAAAGACUAAAGGCUUUCAGAGACGACCAAAUGAGUUUUUUCUGGCUCAGGUCCUACAAUUUCUUCCCUUUUUUUUUUCUUUUUUUGAGACGGAGUCUUGCUCUGUUGCCCAGGCUAGAGUGCAGUGGCACAUUCUCGGCUCACUGCAACGUCCGUCUCCCUGGUUCAAGCGAUUCUCCUGCCUCAGCCUCCCGAGUAGCUGGGAUUACAGGCACCCGCCACCGUGCCUGGCUAAUUUUUGUGUUUUUAGUAGAGAUGGGGGUCUCACCAUCUUGGCCUGGCUGGCCUCGAACUCCUGGAGGUCCUGCAAUUUCUAUUCCUAACACCUUGCAUGUAAAUAGCACAUCAGGUACACCCUGUUACCUCUUAUUUUAAUAGAGGUUAAUGGCAUUUUGCUUUCUUAAAGCUGC